AGCUUUGCGCAGUGGCAGUAUCGUAGCCAAUGAGGUUUAUCCGAGGCACGAUUAUUGCUAAUUGAAAACUUAUUAUUGAAUUAGAAAUUCUAAUAAAAUGUAUUCUGUAGGAAACUUUUAAAACUUCUAUUAAAAG
rfam:Mustela putorius furo unplaced genomic scaffold scaffold00043, whole genome shotgun sequence.